GACGAACGCUGGCGGCGUGCUUAACACAUGCAAGUCGAACGGAAAGGCCCUGCUUUUGUGGGGUGCUCGAGUGGCGAACGGGUGAGUAACACGUGAGUAACCUGCCCUUGACUUUGGGAUAACUUCAGGCAACUGGGGCUAAUACCGGAUAGGAGCUCCUGCUGCAUGGUGGGGGUUGGAAAGUUUCGGCGGUUGGGGAUGGACUCGCGGCUGAUCAGCUUGUUGGUGGGGUAGUGGCUUACCAAGGCUUUGACGGGUAGCCGGCCUGAGAGGGGGACCGGCCACAUUGGGACUGAGAUACGGCCCAGACUCCUACGGGAGGCAGCAGUGGGGAAUAUUGCACAAUGGGCGGAAGCCUGAUGCAGCAACGCCGCGUGCGGGAUGACGGCCUUCGGGUUGUAAACCGCUUUCGCCUGUGACGAAGCGUGAGUGACGGUAAUGGGUAAAGAAGCACCGGCUAACUACGUG
rnacentral:rRNA from 1 species